AUAGAGGGUGCACACUGGAAGCAGAUGAGACUCAGCAGGGCACCUGCCAAGGCCAGGCUCCCAGUCAGGUUGCUCUUGCUCGAGGGGAGCGCUGACCUGCCGACCACAGAUGGAGUGGGCUCAGCACAGUGGUGAGACCAGAAACGAGUUGAGAGCAGCUCUCUGCCCUUCAAAACAAAAGAGCCGGCAGAAGAGUGAAGAGGAGAGCAGAGUCUCAGAGACCAUAUGUGUCAUGCUGUGGAAGCCUGGGAGCUUAAUCAAAGCACCUACAGGUCCUGGGAUCCGACUGUCUUUUCCAGAUUUCAUCCCCUGGCUGGAUACCGAAGAAAGGGCUGCAGGGCUGCGGUUUAAAGCAUGAAUGGAAAUUUCGAGCCUUCUCUCCCACUACCACCCCCCAUGCAUUGCUCCAGCCCAGUCUGAACACCACGAGGUAUUUUAAAAUAAUUUCUACUUUGAUGAAUUGCUGGGGAGUCCACAAUUGCUCAUAAUCAAGGGGAGAAAAAUGCAAAUGAGAUCCGGCCGAGAACUAUCACCACCAAACGUUUAUUUCACUGCACAGUGCCAAAAAGAAUUAAAACAACAUUAAACUCACAGCAAUCAUGUUUAAGCCCUCGUUUCCAAGUGCCAAAUUGCACCACUCUGGAUCAUACAGAUGUUCGUUAAUUAUGCUAAUUUUUAUUAAACUAUUAAAAUGGAGAGAAUACUGGCUCAGCCAGGCAGACCCAAGCUCUGAAUGAACUCUUCUACUGUCUAGAGGUGCUAAUUUACUGCUUUUUUUAUUAAGUUGCUGAUUCUUGGGUUUUAGUUUUUAGGAUCGAACUGAACUGAAUUUCUGGGAUCAAUGUUUUCCCCAUAAAAUCUGAACUUCUUUUGGCCCAGCUGUUUGGAAAAAAAAAAUGGGAAGAGUGCUUUGAGGCUCCCAGGAGAUGUACAGACUUCUUCAACGCAGGAGUGUCUCUACCUUCAAACUGGGGACACAUACCUAUACAUAUCAUUGUGUAUGUCACUGGGGCAUCCAAACUACACAUGUUCUCCACUCCAUGACUCUGUAUACUAUGAAGGCUAAAGACACAAGAAAUGGCUCGACCUCAACCAAGAUAUCAUUUGCAUAAUAAAACACAACAACAACAACAACAACAACCACCACCACCACCACCACCGCCGCCAGGGGAAGUGGAGUCUGGCAGAGGCUGGAGGACUGAGGAGGAUUGAACACUUCUUGGUGGGGCUUUGAGGACACACAGACUUGCAACUUGACUCAGAGAGCAAUGACGUCGCUUGUCUCUCAGGCAAGAGACAAAUAGGGAAUACCUACUUAAGAAGGCUGGGUCCUCCUCUUAGGAAGCCUUGAGAUGCAAUUAUUUACUGAUAAUGCUUUUAGCAAGGGGCCCUGUCUUCUGGGGCCUAAGUGUUGGGUUCACCUUAGUUUCCAGGUUCAUCUGGGAUGCAGGCUUAAAUUGCUAUAAAUUUUGGCUUAAUUUGAAUUUCUUAGCAGAGUACUAAACUCCUGGCAAAUUUCCACAGGAGCGCUUCCUGAAUGGACUUGAAGAUUCAGCUUUCCCAUUGUCUAAAUACCUCACAAUUAAAAGGCUCAGGCUCCGGCUUUCCAGUCUGACCCCCACUGUGUUCUGUACUGUUCACCAGCUGCUGGAUUCCCACCAGAAGUGGCUCUGCGGGAACAGUGAUGACUGUGCGUUUUCUGAGAUGCUAGUGAGCCUGCCUUGUGAAGGGGAGGGCUCCAGAGUCAACCGGCCCCAGCACGGGGAGAGGCGAGGCAGGGUAGGCUUACUCUGAGGAGAUGAGAUUUGACUCUGGGCGAUGAUGAGGUGUGUUCUAUCAGAGUUUUACUGUAUCAAGACCAUUGUUGGCAUCUGCACAAUCCAGACUUUGGAAAUCCUCCGUACCUUUGAGACAAUGCUUUAUCCUUCUCCAGAUUCUACAGAAAGUAAGCCAGGGCUAGAGAGUUAUGAGAACGCACCCCCAAACUCACAGCUAGCCAAUGAGAAACAGAGGGAGUGGUCUCUAGCCUUUAACCUUCAUGGCUCAAGAACAAGUGACGUCACGUCACGUGGUACCGCUGAAAGAGGAUUUCAUCUUGUUCCCAGAACAAGGCAGAGUCACCGGGCUUUUUACACCAUCUCCUUCAGACAGUGAACCUUGGAUAGGGAUAACUUUGGGGGCUGUUUCGUUCUUUCGCAUGUCAAGAGUUUUUUGUUUUUGUUGUUGUUUUUCUGAGCAGCAGGAGGUGGGUAGUUAGCCGGUGAUGUAUCUUACCUGGUAGGACUUCAUAAAUGUCCUCCUCUUUCUCAGUAGGCUCAGGCAAGGCCAUGGCUCUGCACUGGGAGCCAGACCUUGGGGAGUCAAAGCCAUCGACGUCAUUGUACAUUUCUUCCUCUUCUUUCUCUUCUUCCUCCUCUUCCUCCUCCUCCUCUUCGAAGGGAAUGGUUAAGGAGCUAAGAUCUGCAGCGGGAGCAAAGAUAAGAAUGAAUAAAGAU
ensembl:lincRNA 2010300F17Rik RIKEN cDNA 2010300F17 gene